UACGAAGGGGGCUAGCGUUGCUCGGAAUGACUGGGCGUAAAGGGCGCGUAGGCGGACUGCACAGUCCGAUGUGAAAUUCCUGGGCUCAACCUGGGGGCUGCAUUGGAUACGUAUGGUCUUGAGUGGGGAAGAGGGUCGUGGAAUUCCCAGUGUAGAGGUGAAAUUCGUAGAUAUUGGGAAGAACACCGGUGGCGAAGGCGGCGACCUGGUCCUUAACUGACGCUGAGGCGCGAAAGCGUGGGGAGCAAACAGG
rnacentral:rRNA from 1 species